rnacentral:rRNA from 1 species
CCUACGGGUGGCAGCAGUAGGGAAUAUUGCUCAAUGGGGGAAACCCUGACGCAGCAACGCCGCGUGGAGGAUGAAGGCUUUCGGAUUGUAAACUCCUUUUGUUAGGGAAGAUAAUGACGGUAUCUAACGAAUAAGCACCGGCUAACUACGUGCCAGCAGCCGCGGUAAUACGGCGGGUGCAAGAGUUACUCGGAAUCACUGUGCGUAAAGAGCGCGUAGGCGGGAUAGCAAGUCAGAUGUGAAGUCCCAUGGCUUAACCAUAGGACUGCAUUUGAAACUGUUAUUCUAGAGUACGGGAGAGGUAAGUGGAAUUCUGUGUGUAGGGGUAAAAUGCGUAGAGAUCAAGAGGAAUAC